rnacentral:rRNA from 1 species
UUUAGAUGUAAAUUAUUUAACUUAAGUAGUAUUAGUUAAUAUCUUGAAACUUAAAGAAUUUGGCGGUAUUUUAGUCUAUUUAGAGGAAUCUGUCCCUUAAUCGAUAAUCCACGUUGUACCUUACCAAUAUUUAUGUAUGUAUACCGCCGUUAAUAAUGAAUAUCUUAAUAGGGUUUAAUAAUUUUCUGGAUUUUUUUAAUUAAAUAUAUUUCAGGUCAAGGUGCAGUUUAUGUUUUGGUGGAGAUGGAUUACAUUAUAUUUUUAUUUGAAUUAUUUAUUGUAAAUUAAGUAUGAAAAUGGAUUUAAUUGUAAAUUUUUAUAGAUUGUAAAGUUGAUUUUAGCUCUAUAAUAUGU